GUAAGAGCCAGAAGUAGCCACACGGUGUCAGUCUCUACCCAGCUGCUGCUCCUCCGGCCGCCCGGCUCCGCACGCGGCGAUGCUGGCGAAAGCUUUGCUGUCUGCUUCAGGCAUGUCAAGUUCAAAGGAAACGUUGCCUUUCGCUAAUGAGAAGAUUAAUUGCAUUCACAUAUGCUGCAAACUUUGUCAGUUCUGUUGCAAGUUUGAUGACCUUUAAGAGGCAAAGUUUUAGUGUACCCAAAAUAAAUAAUUCAUCCUUUGCAGAUUUGCCCUCUGCAUCCAUCUGCUUCAUUCUGAAGCAUGCUGAUUAAAGCGUCUGAGUGCAAUUAUCAUCAUUGAGAUAAAGACCUCUGUUUUCGUGUUGGACUUCAAAGCACAAUUGCUCUUUUCAAGAUAUCCACAAUCCAUUAUGUAGUCAUGAGGUCAAUUUUUUUUACUCUGACUUAUGUCCAGUUCUCCAUCGUGUUCUUCAAAAUCUUAGAAAAAUCUCUGAAUUCCUCUUUUCCAUGUGAGCUGCUUUUCCAGCUGAAAUGUGUAGCUAAUCCUCUUGCAAAACCUCUGAAAUCGUCAUCUGCAAAUACAACCGGAAAAUUCAUCUCUGUUGUCACGUACAGGGAGAAAAAUGUCAUCGAGGCAAGAUGUGAUUUACUUUGAUUACUGCAAUUAUUGGCACUGCUGGGCUCCUUACCUCUGCGGAGGCUGCAUGCAGCUCGCUGCCAACCCCUUCUUUCCCCCUUCCAUUCCCUGUGACACAUCCGCUUUGCUGAUUUCUCACCCCACCUGUUGCUGUUUGGAGUCUCAGUCUGUGAUACGUGGCAAUAACAUCAAACACGUGCACAGCCAAAGAGACUGCUCUUGGGUUAAAGAAUGUAGGGGUGGAUUUUGGUCCCAUCCCAAGUAGUCUGCAGACACCUAUGCUGCCCUGCAGCCAUUGGCUUUUGGGGCAUGCUGGAAGCCUCCCACAGUGGCUACGUGCAGAUAAAUAAGCUGAUUAUAAAAUAGUGAAGCAGAUGGUGUCUUUUCUUGCUACCUGUGAAAAUAAGCAUGAUCCAAUCUCCCUGGGAGGAAGGAAGCUGCUCAGCAGACAUCACACAGCUCUUGGUUUAUAUAGGGCACUGUGAAAGAUGUGCUGAAUGAAUAUUAUGGCCAUUUAAAUGAACUCUUCCUGGCCCCAUGCAAAAUUAGACUGAACUGGCAUCGCAUCACCUUGUUACUAGAGAGAGAACAAAUACUCACUCUGGCGCAAAUCCUCCUUUGGGCUUGACAAAAAUGUGGGGUUUUUUUGUUUGUUUUCAUACAGAAAUUGAAAUUGGUCUUAAGUGCUCUCUGGAUUUAAUGUUGCUUAUUAUAGAUGAGGCAAUGAAAAUGAAAGCAGAAAUAACAAGGGAUUGCUG
rnacentral:lncRNA from 7 species